GACGAACGCUGGCGGCGUGCUUAACACAUGCAAGUCGAGCGGUAAGGCCCCUUCGGGGUACGACGAGCGGCGAACGGGUGAGUAACACGUGGGUGACCUGCCCUCCAGCUCUGGGAUAAGCCUGGGAAACUGGGUCUAAUACUGGAUAUGACUCUAUGGCGCAUGUUGUGGGGUGGAAAGCCUUGUGCGGCUAGGGAUGGGCCCGCGGCCUAUCAGCUUGUUGGUGGGGUGAUGGCCUACCAAGGCGACGACGGGUAGCCGGCCUGAGAGGGCGACCGGCCACACUGGGACUGAGACACGGCCCAGACUCCUACGGGAGGCAGCAGUGGGGAAUCUUGCGCAAUGGGCGAAAGCCUGACGCAGCGACG
rnacentral:rRNA from 1 species